rfam:Haemonchus contortus, ISE/inbred ISE, WGS project CAVP01000000 data, contig: Hcontortus_27205
AUUGCAUGUUCUUCAAACGGAGUCAUCGAUGUGUUCUUGUACAAUGCUAAGAACACUCUUUGACUUUGGUUUGAAGAAAUAUAUGCAGU